rnacentral:rRNA from 1 species
AUUGAACGCUGGCGGCAUGCCUUACACAUGCAAGUCGAACGGCAGCACGGGAGCAAUCCUGGUGGCGAGUGGCGAACGGGUGAGUAAAGCAUCGGAACGUGCCCAGUCGUGGGGGAUAACGUAGCGAAAGCUACGCUAAUACCGCAUACGAUCUGUGGAUGAAAGCGGGGGACCGUAAGGCCUCGCGCGAUUGGAGCGGCCGAUGUCAGAUGAGGUAGGUGGAGAGGUAAAGGCUCACCAAGCCGACGAUUUGCAGCUGGGCUGAGAGGACGACCGGCCACACUGGGACGGAGACACGGCCCAGACUCCUACGGGAGACAGCAGUGGGGAAUUUUGGACAAUGGGCGCAAGCCUGAUCCAGCAAUGCCGCGUGCAGGAUGAAGGCCUUCGGGUUGUAAACUGCUUUUGUACGGAGCGAAACGGCUUCCACUAAUACUGGGGGCUAAUGACGGUACCGUAAGAAUAAGCACCGGCUAACUACGUGCCAGCAGCCGCCGUAA